rnacentral:rRNA from 1 species
AACGAACGCUGGCGGCAUGCCUAACACAUGCAAGUCGAACGAGACCUUCGGGUCUAGUGGCACACGGGUGCGUAACGCGUGGGAAUCUGCCCUUGGGUUCGGGAUAACAGUUGGAAACGACUGCUAAUACCGGAUGAUGUCUUCGGACCAAAGAUUUAUCGCCCAAGGAUGAGCCCGCGUAGGAUUAGCUUGUUGGUGAGGUAAGAGCUCACCAAGGCGACGAUCCUUAGCUGGUCUGAGAGGAUGGUCAGCCACACUGGGACUGAGACACGGCCCAGACUCCUACGGGAGGCAGCAGUGGGGAAUAUUGGACAAUGGGCGAAAGCCUGAUCCAGCAAUGCCGCGUGAGUGAUGAAGGCCUUAGGGUUGUAAAGCUCUUUUACCCGGGAUGAUAAUGACAGUACCGGGAGAAUAAGCCCCGGCUAACUCCGUGCCAGCCGCCGCAGUAA